rnacentral:lncRNA from 1 species
UCAGUUUUUCGUGGGAGAUGCGCCAUUAUGUUUGAAAAUACAAGAGGUGUUUAUGGAGAAAGAUGGAAGCUGCUUAUGAGACACAAGACAGGCCCUGUGGAAGUUUAGUCAUGAAGAAGAUAAAGAAGAUUUUCUGGAGGGAUCCUCUAGAAACAAACAACAAAACCCACAAAUUAUAAUGCAUCUGCACUUAGACUGCUAGGAACUUUGACUCGAUGGAGUGAAAGCUUAAGGCUUUGUUCUUUACCUGUGCUGCUUUCAAAAAAUGUGGACAGUGGGUCCAUUUUUGCAAGCAGAAGUUGUUUAACCAUGAGAUGAAUGUCCCAUGAUUUCAAA